rnacentral:rRNA from 1 species
GCAAGUCGAACGAGAAAGCACCCUUCGGGGUGUGAGUACAGUGGCGCACGGGUGAGUAACACGUGGGUAACCUACCCUCUGGCGCGGGACAACAGCUCGAAAGGGCUGCUAAUACCGCAUAAGUCGGUGACGGUUUAGGCUGUUACCGGGAAAGGAUGGCCUCUUCUAUGCUAUCGCCGGAGGAUGGGCUCGCGGCCCAUCAGCUUGAUGGUGAGGUAAUGGCUCACCAUGGCUAAGACGGGUAGCUGGUCUGAGAGGAUGAUC